UGAUACCUUCAGGGGAACCAGAAGCAAUAUGCCCGCUCCUUUCACUGUGCACAGUUUCUGCUUGACGUGUCUUGGGUUGUUCCUUCAGAAGACCGACUCAUGGAGUGAGUCAUAAGUGUAGAGGUGCUGAGAAUUCAGAAAUCAUCUACACAAGGAAGAAAUAAGCUCUGAAUCACAGUAUAGCUUGAGCAGAAUGACAUACAGUCCCCAUUGGUGUGGAUCAGCGAGGACGUAUGUUUAACAGCUUCAAAGUUGAAUAAUUAAUGGAGUUUCUGCCUCCUAACUUUGUAGUACAAACUGGUGAAUCAUCACAGAUCUUUCAGUGUUACCUUCAGGGAAACAGGGAACUACCUUCAAAAAUCUCGUA